GAUGAAGAACGCAGCGAAAUGCGAUAAGUAAUGUGAAUUGCAGAAUUCAGUGAAUCAUCGAAUCUUUGAACGCACAUUGCGCCCCUUGGUAUUCCGAGGGGCAUGCCUGUUCGAGCGUCAUAUUAACCACUCCCGCUUGCGGGGUCUUGGGCUUCGCCUCCGGGCGGGCCUUAAAAUCAGUGGCGGUGCCGUCGGGCUCUACGCGUAGUAAAUUUUCUCGCGAUAGGGUCCCGGUGGAUGCUUGCCAACAACCCCCAACUUCUUAAGAUUGACCUCGGAUCAGGUAGGGAUACCCGCUGAACUUAAGCAUAUCAAUAAGCGGAGGA
rnacentral:misc_RNA from 1 species